GACGAACGCUGGCGGCGUGCUUAACACAUGCAAGUCGAACGGGAUGAUUUAGAAGCUUGCUUUUAGAGAAUCUAGUGGCAAACGGGUGAGUAACACGUAGACAACCUGCCGACAGGAUGGGGACAACAUUCCGAAAGGAAUGCUAAUACCGAAUGAAGUCGAGGGAGGGCAUCCUCCUUCGAUGAAAGAUGGCCUCUGAACAUGCUAUCACCUGUCGAUGGGUCUGCGUCUGAUUAGCUGGUUGGUGAGGUAACGGCUCACCAAGGCGACGAUCAGUAGCCGGUCUGAGAGGAUGAACGGCCACAUUGGGACUGAGACACGGCCCAGACUCCUACGGGAGGCAGCAGUGGGGAAUCUUCCGCAAUGGGCGCAAGCCUGACGGAGCAACGCCGCGUGAGUGAAGAAGGUCUUCGGAUCGUAAAGCUCUGUUGAUGGGGACGAAUGUGCCUAAAUGCGAAUU
rnacentral:rRNA from 1 species